GAUGAAGAACGCAGCGAAAUGCGAUAAGUAGUGUGAAUUGCAGAAUUCAGUGAAUCAUCGAAUCUUUGAACGCACAUUGCGCCCCAUGGUAUUCCGUGGGGCAUGCCUGUUCGAGCGUCAUUUAUCCCCUCAAGCUCCGCUUGGUGUUGGGCGUCUGUCCCGCUUCGCGCGCGGACUCGCCCCAAAGGUAUUGGCAGCGGUCGUGCCAGCUUCUCGCGCAGCACAUUGCGCUUCUCGAGGCACCGGUGGGCCCGCGUCCAUCAAGCUCACCCCCCCAGUUUGACCUCGGAUCAGGUAGGGAUACCCGCUGAACUUAAGCAUAUCAAUAAGCGGAGGA
rnacentral:misc_RNA from 1 species